rnacentral:rRNA from 1 species
AAUACCGCAUAACGUCGCAAGACCAAAGAGGGGGACCUUCGGGCCUCUUGCCAUCAGAUGUGCCCAGAUGGGAUUAGCUAGUAGGUGUAAUGGCUCACCUAGGCGACGAUCCCUAGCUGGUCUGAGAGGAUGACCAGCCACACUGGAACUGAGACACGGUCCAGACUACGGGAGGCAGCAGUGGGGAAUAUUGCACAAUGGGCGCAAGCCUGAUGCAGCCAUGCCGCGUGUGUGAAGAAGGCCUUCGGGUUGUAAAGCACUUUCAGCGAGGAGGGUGGUGAAGCUUAAUACGUCUCAUCAAUUGAAUAGUCCGUUACUCGCAGAAGAAGCACCGGCUAACUCCGUGCCAGCAGCCGCGGUAAUACGGAGGGUGCAAGCGUUAAUCGGAAUUACUGGGCGUAAAGGCAGGCGGUUUAAGUCAGAUGUGAAAUCCCCGGGCUCAACCUGGGAACUGCAUUUGAAACUGGCAAGCUAGAGUCUCGUAGAGGGGGGUAGAAUUCCAGGUGUGUGAAAUGCGUAGAGAUCUGGAGGAAUACCUGAUCGGUGGCGAAGGCGGCCCCCUGGACGAAGACUGACGCUCAGGUGCGAAAGCGGGAGCAAACAGGAUUAGGACUGAUUGGUAGUCCACGCUGUAAACGAUGUCGAUUUGGAGGUUGUGCCCUUGAGGCGUGGCUUCCGGAGCUAACGCGUUAAAUCGACCGCCUGGGGAGUACGGCCGCAAGGUUAAAACUACAAAUGAAUUUGACGGGGGCCCGCACAAGCGGUGGAGCUUGGUUUUUAAUUUCGAUGCAACGCGAAGAACCUUUACCUACUCUUUGCCAGAGAACUUUAGCAGAGAUGCUUUGGUGCCUUCGGGAACUCUGAGACAGGUGCUGCAUGGCUGUCGUCAGCUCGUGUUAAUGUUGGGUUAAGUCCUUAGUCCGCAACGAGCGCAACCCUUUUGAUCAUCCUUUGUUGCCAGCGGUUCGGCCGGGAACUCAAAGGAGACUGCCAGUGAUAAACUGGAGGAAGGGGAUGACGUCAAGUCAUCAUGGCCCUUACGAGUAGGGCUACACUGCUACAAUGGCGUAUACAAAGACCAUGUGAAGCGACCUCGCGAGAGCAAGCGGACCUCAUAAAGUAUAGUACACGUCGUAGUCCGGAUUGGAGUCUGCAACUCGACUCCAUGAAGUCGGAAUCGCUAGUCGUAGAUCAGAAUGCUACGGUGAAUACGUUCCCGGGCCUUGAACAGUCUACACACCGCCCGACACCAUGGGAGUGGGUUGCAAAAGAAGUAGGUUUAACCUUCGGGAGCAUAGUAC